GGAUGUGAGGGUGAUCUGGCUGCGACAUCUGUCACCCCAUUGAUGGCCAGGGUUGAUUCGGCUGAUCUGGCUGGUUAGGCGGGGGUCCUCUUCCUCCCUCACCACUCCAUGUGCGUCCCUCCCGAAGCCACGCGCUCGGUAGGUCGAAGAGGACGACCACCCCCAUAGAGGAGGGCCGUUCCUCGGUCAAGGGUAUACGAGUAGCUGCGCUCCCCUGCUAGAACCUCCAAACAAGCUCUCAAGGAAUAAGUUGUCUUCUGAAGGAGAAAAAGAAGUAUCCCUUUUUCUCAUUUUUAUAAAGAUUCCACAUUAGUUAUGUGAAUUCU
rnacentral:snRNA from 1 species